UACGAAGGGGGCUAGCGUUGCUCGGAAUCACUGGGCGUAAAGGGUGCGUAGGCGGGUUCUUAAGUCAGAGGUGAAAUCCUGGAGCUCAACUCCAGAACUGCCUUUGAUACUGAGAGUCUUGAGUUCGGGAGAGGUGAGUGGAACUGCGAGUGUAGAGGUGAAAUUCGUAGAUAUCUGGAGGAACACCGGUGGCGAAGGCGGCAUCCUGGACCGAUACUGACGCUGAGGAGCGAAAGCCAGGGGAGCAAACGGG
rnacentral:rRNA from 1 species